rnacentral:lncRNA from 1 species
ACAUUUUGUUGACUGAAACUCUUUGUUGUCAGUGCAGCGCUCCAUUUCUCUCUCUUUCUCUCUUUCUCAGAAAAUGACAGGAAGUGUAAAAGGAAGGGAAGUUGCUUCUCGCUGUGUACGUAUCUUGUAAUGUUGCGGCCAGCCUCUUCUUAAAUUAUGAACUAUAUCGUGAGAAGAUCUUAAACUCCACCAACGACUUCUCUGAUGGGCAGCGGCACGAGUGUGAAUGGAUGUGUUUGGUGAACACUCGAGAGGGAAGAAGACACCACGAGCCACGAGUCAUGCCUAAGCCAGUGUGAACAAGUGCCUGUGCCUGAGCGUGUGUGUGUGUGUGUGAUCUUAUGGUACAACCAUGGCAAGAGCAGCACUUACUAAACUUCUUCUCCUCGUGAUUCUUGCCUUCAUCAUCUGCCUCCCGGAAUUUUUCACAUUUUACCAAGUAACAAAAGUGAACUUCUUCUGCCGUCCCUACCGACCCUGCGAACAAGUAAAUCGGGUGAAGGAGGGGGAAAAUGCAAAGGCUGGAAAUGUUGACGCUAAGAGAGGCCAUAUGUGUGACCCAUCUCAGACUCCAGAUCAGGAAAAAUGGGAGCAGGCGUGCACACGAGAAGAUCAAAGCAAUGCAACAGAUUCGUCUUCAGACGUCAGGAGAGGCAUAAAUGAUCCAAAAGCGAGGUGGUUCAUGUGUGAGACAGACAUGGAAAUGGCAGAAGUACACAGAAAUAUCUCAACUUCAGCUUACGAGUCACGUCUGGAGGUGUCAGCUGAGCUUCGUCUGCCCAACGCAGAGACCCUGAAUCUCACCUUGUACGGCCGCAGCAAUCAGAGUUCCUUACACCUCUACCCACCUGAGGAGGAGGAGGAAGAGAAGGGUGGUGAUGAAGGACAGAGGAAGGCAUUCUACUGCUGUCUCCCUCUCCUGCCCAACUCUGAAUCGGCCAAUCAAAGCCGCUGUCUCCUUUGGUUCGCCAAUCAAACGGUUUGGAAUUCAACAGCAAAGGAAAAGCUGCCAUGGAAACGGACACAAAAAGAUGAGUGGCAGUGUGCGCUCAGAGUGGUCUGGCUGGCUCUGCUGUGUUUGGUGUUGCUGAGCAUAGUAACGAGUGUGAUCGGACAAAUCUACAAGAAAAGGCGUUUGUGCAGGAAGCCGAAGGUGCACCCUGAUGGCUUCAACUUAAUUACUCAGCAAUUAAAUGACGGUGCCAAAGAAAAAGAAGUCAGCCCUCCUGAAGCAGGGACAAACCUCCACUCAUACGGGUUUCAUACCUGGUCAGGACUCUCACCAAUUAAAGAAGUUGACAGUCAACAUGACAUAUCAACGUUGAUGGAUGGAAAUGCUGACCACUGCUAUACUGGUUUUCUGCAUCAUCGCAGCCAUCCCUCCGUCAGCUCCAUCAAAGACGAGCAGGCUCGAUGACAGACGAGCAGCCGGAGGAAGCUGGAGGAAAACAGCCGCCUCAUUUACCAGCAUUACUAAUGGUGAAAAUAAAGAAAUCUGAACCAUCUACAUGUGCUUGUGAACUUAUUUUCAGCAUGUCAUCUCUGAAGCUUUGUCUAUGUUAG